rnacentral:rRNA from 1 species
GGCAAAAGCUCAGAUUUGAAAGCCUUUUUGGCAUUGUAUUCUGAAGUCAGUUUCCUGAGUAUCGAUGUCUAAGUCUCCUGGAAAGGAGCGCCAUAGAGGGUGAUAGCCCCGUACGAUAUCUCACUCAUUGUAGGAUUCUGACGUGGAGUCGAGUUGUUUGGGAAUGCAGCUCAAACGGGUGGUAUGCUCCAUCUAAAGCUAAAUAUCUGUGAGAGACCGAUAGCGAACAAGUACUGUGAAGGAAAGAUGAAAAGAACUUUGAAAAGAGAGUGAAAUAGUACGUGAAAUUGUUGAAAUGGAAGGAUAGGCCGCUAACCAUGUAGAGCCGUGUUUGGGGGGAAGACAAAAGCUGAAGAAUGUGGCUCCUCGGAGUGUUAUAGCUUCAGUCAAUAUUCCCACCCGAGCGCGAGGACCUCAGGCUCUACUAAAUGGUGGUCUAUCACCCGUCUU